UUCGGGAAACCGGAGCUAAUACCUGAUAAUAUAUUGAACCGCAUGGUUCAAUAGUGAAAGACGGUUUUGCUGUCACUUAUAGAUGGAUCCGCGCCGCAUUAGCUAGUUGGUAAGGUAACGGCUUACCAAGGCAACGAUGCGUAGCCGACUUGAGAGGGUGAUCGGCCACACUGGAACUGAGACACGGUCCAG
rnacentral:rRNA from 1 species